ACAUAGAUAUUAGUUUCUAGAAUAUGUCUGCAAAAUUUCAUGGACUUUGGUUGCUUAGUAUUCAAAUGAAUAGGAACUACGUUUGUAUGAAGCGAGUGACGGAGAGACCCCUCUUAAUCAUGCGGGUUGUUCGCAUCGCAUGUUCUUUCGAGCGAUUGCAAAUAAGGUCGCCGUCUAAAGGUAAUUUUACCGUCCUAAAUGAGUAACGUCCUGAGCCUUUGUUUACAUUCGGGUGUUGGUCUAAUCUCCAGUUACAUGACAGGCGGUUAAACUUACAUUACGGUUAGCGUUACCAUCAGUAAAAAGCAAAGUGGGUUGCACAAGUCAAUAGGGUGCAUAAGUUCUUAACUUAGAACUGAAAUGUUACUUUUAAUCCUGUCUCGUGCAAUAUUACUUUUCUGUUGUCCAUAUAAAUAGCUGUUAACUGCAAAAAUAGUUUAGAGUUUUCGCCAAUAAUAAGGGAACUUAAAAUAUUGACUAAAAACUGUCUGAUUAAAACAUUCUAUUUAAAAACAUGAGUUUUUAAAAAUUCUCACGUUUUUUGGAUGUACGAGUACUUUUUGCAGAUAACAGCUAUUUAAAAUAUAGUCAUAGGGCGGCGGUUUUAUUGACAGUCGAAAUUUAACUGUGAAUAUACGUAAUUUUAACUUCCUGACAUUCAACUGGACCUAAGCCUUAUAAUAGGUAUUAUUCAAUAAAUAAAUCAAAUAAUCACACAUUAUAGCUUGGUCAUCCGAUCUAGAAAACAUUCCUACAGUCUAGGGUAUUAACAAAAUAAACUACAAAACCCAGAGAGAUGUCAUAGUAUUACUACUUCUAGAGGUAUUACUAGGUUGCAAAUUGCAAAAAACAGGAAUAUUUUCAUCGCAUUAAAGGUGUUUUACAUUGGUGAAUCAAAAAAUCAUUAUUCUCUUUAUCUGACACUUAUUAUGCAAUUCAUUAUUGGGGCCUGUUUUUAAUGACUAUUAUAACUAGGUACAUUUCAUGUAAGUUUGAUGUGUGAUCUUUCCUGCCGGGUACUGUUAAGUGAUUGAGUUAUUAUCAACGGUAUAUGUGACACAUGGCGUCGAUUCUGAUAUCUUUCCCUAAACUAAAUUAAGAGUAUCUGCAUCUUUAUCUUUUAAAUAUUCCUAAAAAAGGACAGCAAAUGAAUUCUAAAUUAACAACUUAAAAUUUAAAUACUGUGCAAGACUGGCACCUUAAAUCACAGGUUUGGCAAUUUUAAUUUAAAAUAAAUAAAAAAUGAGAAAAAGAUGCAAAUACUCCAAAAUUUAGUUGCCAUCAGAAUUACCACUAACAUUUAGUAAUCUAAGUUUAAGAUAUUACUAAGUUGUCUUUAUGCACAAAUAACUAAGUAUAUUUAAGAAGUAGGUAUUCAAUUAUGUCACUAAAUUAGAUUUACGGCCAUGUUAUUAACUUGCUUUGUAUACUUGGACUUAUUUUAAAUGCAAAAUAGAUCCAAAAUAGAUAGAAAAUGAAUAUUUUGUGGAGUUUGAUUCAAUUUCACAUGAUUAAGUACGUCAAUUACAAUUUUUUUAAUUAGUUUAUGCAAUAAACAUUCAUAAACAUUGAGAUCAGAACCAUAGUUCGCGAAGGUCGAUGGCAAUCGGGGUGCCCUCCCGCCUUGACGAUUGUCAAGUCGACCUGUCACGAACUACAGUUUUCUAUCGCACUUGGUAAUCUUGCUUUAGUGAUAUCAAAUUUGGGAAAACAGGCCAAAAAUUUAGUUUCCGCUUUUCGAAACUGUGUACAUCUAGGGCCAAUAGAAAUGCCAAAUCUAUUAAAUUAUUUUUAAUCCUG